GGGAAUGUAGCUCAGUGGCAGAGUGCUUGCUUAGCAUGCAUGAGGUCUGGUUCCAUCCCCA
rnacentral:tRNA from 1 species